ACUUUAGCAGAGCUGCAGCUAACAGCCUGAAACAUUUCUUCCCCGGCGUUUGUGCUGGGCUGGGCUCCUCUUGGACUUACCUGCACCAGCAUUUCAGCAAAGCUAUGAGUGGCAGCUCUUACUGCCUGGGAACAGACUCACAUGGCCUAGUCAGGAGGAUGACAGCUCUACGCCACUGCGUUUCCUGGCACACCAAGAGCUUUGCAGUGGAGGGGAACAGACCCAAAGCGAAUUCCUGCAGGCUGUGUGAAUGCCCCUGGUGUUUGGGCUUCGGCUAACAGCAGGGUGUCCUGUGGGUGUUUGGAGGAGCCCUACUGAUAGCCAAAACCGACCUAGAUUUCAUUUGUUUGUAUAACGUGGUGCACUUGGAAAAGGAAAAAAUAAUUAGAUGAAGAGGAUCCACUUGUAGCACAGAUGUCCGCUGCCCAGCUGAUCUACCCAGACAACUUUGCCCUCCUUUCUGGCUGGAGGAUGGAGUGGCUCCCACGGAUUAACAUGGUGACAUCUGUUUGGGUAACGCACGGACGAGAUGGGGAGAUGCAAUCCAUACACCUCUGUUUUCUUUGGAAACCUUUCCCAAUGAUAGGAGAUUAAAACCUUUAAUGUGUCAUUAUUUUGGGCUGGAUGUCAACUGCCAAGCACAACCAUGCUCUUCAGAUUACGAGUCAAGAAAAGAAUGAAUUUGUUAAAAUGGCACGCUUGCCAUGCGGAGUAGCUGCUGCCGGUUAGCCUUAUGCAGGAAGGUUUUCAGGUCUAUGGCAAAGCCAAGUGUUGGUCUCUGUAAAGGGGAAAGCAGGGCUGGAAGGAAGCCCUGACAAUCUGUGCUGCAGGGAGUCGAGAAGCCAAACCCAGCACUUCUCUGCUGCUGUAACCAGGGAUUGGUGAACCUCCUACCCAUGCCUGAGACCCCAGAGUGCCCUGGAACUCAGUGCUUGGAAACUUUUCUCGUCAUAUCCUAGCAGUCACUCUUGAUUUCUGUUACAAUUAAUAACCCAGUGAUAUGACUGAGAGCAUAAGCUGCCUCUUUCUGUUACUUUUACUUGGAAUAAUCUCUUUUUAAAGAACCAAAGAUCUAUGUCCAAGAGCACUAUUCUGCAGACUAC